UAGUCCACGCCGUAAACGAUGGUUACUAGCUGUUCGGACUUCGGUCUGAGUGGCUAAGCGAAAGUGAUAAGUAACCCACCUGGGGAGUACGUUCGCAAGAAUGAAACUCGAAGGAAUUGACGGGGGGCCCGCACAAGCGGUGGAGCAUGUGGUUUAAUUCGAUGAUACGCGAGGAACCUUACCAGGGCUUAAAUGUAGUAUGACAGACUGAGAGAUCGGUUUUUUCUUCGGACAUAUUACAAGGUGCUGCAUGGUUGUCGUCAGCUCGUGCCGUUGAGGUGUCAGGUUAAGUCCUAUAACGAGCGCAACCCCUGUUGUUAGUUGCCAGCGAUUAAAGUCGGGAACUCUAACAAGACUGCCGGUGCAAACCGCGAGGAAGUGGGGAUGACGUCAAAUCAUCACGGCCCUUACGUCCUGGGCCACACACGUGCUACAAUGGUAGGUACAGAGAGCAGCCACGUCGCGAGGCGGAGCGAAUCUAUAAAACCUAUCUCAGUUCGGAUCGGAGUCUGC
rnacentral:rRNA from 1 species